rnacentral:rRNA from 1 species
GAUGAACGCUAGCUACAGGCUUAACACAUGCAAGUCGAGGGGUAACGAGAGGGAAGCUUGCUUUCCUUGUCGACGACCGGCGCACGGGUGAGUAACGCGUAUCCAACCUGCCCCCAACUAAGGAAUAACCUUGCGAAAGUAAGACUAAUACCUUAUAAUUUCCUCAGAUGUCAUCUGACGAGGAAUAAAGAUUUAUCGGUUGUGGAUGGGGAUGCGUCUGAUUAGCUUGUUGGCGGGGUAACGGCCCACCAAGGCAACGAUCAGUAGGGGUUCUGAGAGGAAGGUCCCCCACAUUGGAACUGAGACACGGUCCAAACUCCUACGGGAGGCAGCAGUGAGGAAUAUUGGUCAAUGGGCGGAAGCCUGAACCAGCCAAGUAGCGUGCAGGAUGACGGCCCUAUGGGUUGUAAACUGCUUUUAUACAGGAAUAAAGUUAGCCACGUGUGGUUAUUUGUAGGUACUGUAUGAAAAAGGACCGGCUAAUUCCGUGCCAGCAGCCGCGGUAA